rnacentral:lncRNA from 1 species
CUCAAUUCCUUUUGUCCUGAUAUUUCCUUGUGACUUAAGGUCACAGGGAUGCUGUGGGUCAGGAGCUUCACCACAAAGUGGGAUUCUUUGAAGGGCAAGGACUGCCCACAGAAGGAUGCCCACCAUCCCAAUAGACGAAAGGAAGUCAAAAGACGCCUGAAAUGAAUCAUCACUUACCAUGGGCGAAUUGUAUGGUAUGUGCAUUAUAUCUCAAUCAAAAAAAAAAAGAGAGAGAGAGAGACAGUCUGAAGUUUCCAGGUCUCCAGGACCCUUGGAGACUCUUUCAUGGCAUCCUGAAAACCCCAGCCUGAGCAUCAGAGCCAUUUCCUUCUAUUUACAAAAGCACCAGUGGUCACCUUCUUCAAGGGCCGCUGGAAAUGGUGUGGAGAGUCUGGAGCAAACUGCUAAAAACCGUGCAGUCAAAAUUCACCUGCGGAGCAGACCUGCUGACUCUGGCACUUCUGGGGGAUUGCAUAUCCUACAGAUGUCCCUGGUAGGUGGCCACGUGGAGGCCACACUGGAGCUGCCAUAACCCGUCUACAGAUGAACACACAGACCUGGGAUUUGGGCACCAGCUGGAACGCUAGAGCUGCCAGGUGGAAGGUCUCAUUUCUGGUCCCAUUUCUCAGGUGCCAACGCUGAUGACCAAACUCUCCAUCACCAACCUCUGCCCCCACCGGGGAAUAAACGCCCACUGGAGACAGAGGGCGCAGCUCUGGGGUCAGGAUAUUGGGGCCCACGGUCUCGCCCACGAUUUUGUCUUCACAUCCUGAAAACCCUCUCUCAGGGAGCUGGGAAAAUCCAAUCGCCCCCACAGCUCAGGGGGCUCUGACUGGAACCAGCAGUAGCACCACCAGACCACCAGACCCAUGGCCCGCAGCUUGGGGUCAUCUGCAUCCGGUGCUGGGCUCCUCAUGGCUCCAGUUAAAGGAAGGCAUUAGUGUGCCUUAAUCCAUUUGAAUGACUUCAAAUCCAGCUGGCCGCUGCCUUGGCACCGCAGCCCAGCUUUCCGCCCCACCACCACCUCCUUUGCGGUCAGCCCGCGGGACUCACAGCAUCGCGGUUGCCCAGACAACACCUCAACCCACGGCCAGAGCUGCAUCGUGAUUGGUCCAAGCUCAAGAGCUUGCUAAUCUCCCUAGCAGCGAUUGAUUAGAAGUGGACACGUGACACAGCCUGGAUCGGUUUCCCGCCUCCUAGUGGAGAGACGGCCUUCCUCCGGAGACUGUCUGGAUGUGACAGCCCGAGGGAUGCCCAGAGCCCCAGUGGGCCAACCCUGGUACCACCCUCCCUUCAAACGACUGGUGUGAAAUAACAUAUAGCCCCAUCGACUUCGCCAGUUUCUGUCGGGCGUUUCUGUUCCCUCUGCUGGAAGCAUCCGCGCUGCUCUUGAUUCCACGAAUGCUGAGAACACCUCCUGGACCUGUGCGGAGCCAAGUCCUGCUUUGGUUGUGCCUCCUCUCACAUGGGGCGUUUCCCUUCCUUCCUCACGUGCGUGAUCUUCGCUUGACCUUCUCUAGCAACCGGACCGGCUCUUUACCAGUAGGCACCUGGGGAGAGUGACGCCACGAUGGUUCUGAGGAGAACUUGUCUGUUCCCACUUGAUUUGUUGCACUUUCACCAUCACUAUGAGAAAAAGCUUCUCUGGAGCAGCUGCUGCCCCUUGAGCCUGGGCCAGACAUGCACACACCUCUCCAGGAGGCCAAGACCUGACAGACUGAGGUGAUAACAAGGAAAAAGAAAAGCUGUCGAACCACACCACUCAUCUGUCAGUAGCCAGGCUGUGGCAGCGGUCAUCCUUCUGGGACCUCCUAGGCUCUCUGGGGGCAGGACUCUGGCUGUAUGGUGAUAGAAGAUCGCUAUGAUGAAGGUCAACCUUGUGGAUGAUACUUUUUUGCUGGGCCAAUUACUUUGCAUAAAGCCGGAAAAUGAUUCAUCUGUGUAGUCCAGCUUAGCAGGUCCUCAGCAGAGAACACCUUUAGAAAGCGACGGAGAGGGUGAAAUCGAUUUUCCUAUGAGGGUAUACAUUUCUGCGUCCUCACCAUAUGCAGUUGGAUGAGUUAUAAGCACACAUGCCCAUUACUUCUAUUCAGUUUGACACACUUAGAAUAAAUGGCCAGGCUUUAGAGCUGCUUCUGUUUUAUCUUUGUAGUUCUGGGCCCAAGAAGGCAAACUCUUUCAGUUUUAGUUCCUGUGUCUUCAAGGCUGUACCCUUGAGUUUUGGCAGAAAGUCCUUAAGGAUUCCGGGCUGCUGUGCCCCUGGGGCUUCGAACUUCCAGAACUUUCUCCCAUUCCAUUCUCUUUUUUUCUGGGCUCACGGAUCCUCAUCUCCUUUGAAAUCCCUGUGGAUAAGAUGGUGAAACACAGGCUGGAAGCCACUGAGAUCUGAGAGCUGAGCAACUAGUUGAACAACUGUGCCUAAAGGUGUCCCAGAAGCAGAUGGGUGUUAACUGAAUGGGGUCUGCAAGGGAGGCCCUGGCUGCCCUUGGCACUUCCUUGUUCUAUAUUUGUGUCUGCAACAGCUGAAUUCGGACAUGACCUGGGUAUAGAAAACAUAUUAGCCUAAUAGUUAAGAAUAUGGGCUGGCACCAAACCGCUGGGUUGAAGUCCGGCACUGCCACACACUAGCUAGUUGUCCUGGAGCAAGUUAUUUAACUUCCCUAUGCCUCAGUUUACUCAUCUAUAUAAUGGGAAUCCUAAUAGUUUCCACUUUAGAAUUGUUGCGAGGAUUGAGAGUUAAGCACCUAGAAUUUACUGUUCCUGUGUUGGUCGUUGUUACAACAGUUGUUGGGUGUAGUUGUAAUAACAGGGAGUUGCAACACUAGCAGGUGGGAGGGGGAGUAAAUGCACCAGCUGACAAAAUGGGAUCCAGAAUAUCUCACUAAGUCACGGUGAUGGGCAAAUUUAACAAUAAAGCUGACUGCUGUGCCCCCAACAGCACAGGAUGAGAAAAACAUGGUUUUGCAGUAGUACAGGAGAAAAUGAUGUGAGGGAUCGUUCCAUAGUAAAUUUAAUAGGAAUCAACUCAAGUGGUGGGUUACCAUACAAAAAAAACUUACAUAAUCUCCCCCCGUGUCCCUUAGAUGUGGGUGAUUGGAAGGGGGAGGGCACCGGCCUUAGCCUGGACAGGCAGACCACACCUGGACAAAUUUGGGGUGCCCACUGUGAAGGGAGUCUAGACAGGCAGGAAUGCGUGCAGAGGAGAGUGAGCUGAUCCUGCAGGGGCUGGAAGGCAUGUGACUCAGUAAGCGAUGCCACCUGUGGUAACAAACAAGUCCCUAACCACAGAGACGGAACACAGUCGUUAAUUACUUGCUCACCUAACCGAUGUUCUGACGUAGGGGUGAGCCAUCCUCCAGCAGUGGGCCAGGGCACCUCCCUUUGUGCUGAAAGAGUGUGGAGACUAUAAGUGGAAGGCGUGUAUGGGUCAGGUCUGGAAAUGGCCACACGCAUUCACUCACAUUCUAGAGCCCCUGUGGUCACACCUGCAGGAGAUGCUAGGUAGUGCAGUCUGGCCAUGAGGCCAGCAGAAGAGACGCACUUGGCGAUCAGCCACUGGCAUCUGCCACUCUACGAAUUGUGAAGAAGGUCCAAGAAGCAGGACGCUGAGCCCGAGAAGAGUGGGAGGGCUUAAGAUGUGUCUCCAAACAUUGGAAAGGUCUCUUUGUAAAAGAGAGGAUCAUCUUUGUUGGUGUCACUUCAGAGGGCAGAAGCAGAACCUGUGGAUGGAGAGAUCUAGGGAGGCUGGUGGGGUGAACGACCAUCCUAGUUUGCCUGGACUGUCUGGUUUUAGCAAUGAAAGCCUACCUCCUGGGAAACCCAUCCGAUGACAUCAGAUGACGUUGGUCAUCCCAGCGUGGCCAACUUUGGGUUGACACAGGUGUGUCUAUCCUAGGAGCUAUCCCGGGCAACACUCCUUCCCCCGUCCCCCCACUCAUUUAGAUAUGAGUGACAGUGUUGUUGGCCGUCAGUUCAAUGUUAAUGAGCCAACAAUAGAUGUUAAAUAAGGUGUCUUUAAAGAGAAGUACAUUGAUUGACUGAUGAAAAUGUUGCAGCCAGAGGUUUGCAGGAACCUAACCCAGUGUUUCCCCUAGGAGCGAUGGUGCAGUAUUCGCUAAUUCCAUUUCAUGGUGACUUUAUAGAACAUAGCUACUGAAGAUAACAAGAAUUGACUUUAUAUCCAUACAAUGGAAUAUUUUCGGCCAUAAAAAGAAAAGAAGUCCUGAUGCAUGCCACAACAUGGAUGAACCUUGGAAACAUUUUGCUGAGUGAAGUCAGUCACAAAAGACCAUGUUUUGUGAUUCAAUUUUAUGAAAUGUUCACAAUAGGGAAAUCUCUAGAGACAGAAAGAUUAGUGGUUGCUUGGGGCUGGCCGAUGGAGGGGAGAGGGAGAGUUAGAGGGGAACAAUAGCCCCGGGGUACAGGGUUUCUUUUUGGGUGAUAAAAAUUGUCUGAAAUUGACUUUGUGAUGGUUGCACAUAUCUAUGGCUAUACAAAAACACUGAAUUGUAUACUUUAAAUGGGUGAAUUGUAUGGUAUGUGAAUUAUAUCUCAAUAAAGC